GUGGGGAAUCUUCCGCAAUGGACGAAAGUCUGACGGAGCGACGCCGCGUGAGUGAAGAAGGCCUUCGGGUCGUAAAGCUCUGUCAUCAGGGACGAAUGGCCGGUGGAGUGGAAAGCCACCGGAUUGACGGUACCUGAGAAGGAAGCCACGGCUAACUACGUGCCAGCAGCCGCGGUAAUACGUAGGUGGCAAGCGUUGUCCGGAAUUAUUGGGCGUAAAGCGCGCGCAGGUGGGAUCUUAAGUCCAUUUUGAAAGUUCGGAGCUCAACUCCGUGAUGGGAUGGAAACUGGGAUUCUUGAGGACCGGAGAGGAAAGCGGAAUUCCCCGUGUAGCGGUGAAAUGCGUAGAUAUGGGGAGGAACACUAGUGGCGAAGGCGGCUUUCUGGACGGUGUCUGACACUGAGGCGCGAAAGCCAGGGGAGCGAACGGGAUUAGAAACCCGAGUAGUCC
rnacentral:rRNA from 1 species